GACGAACGCUGGCGGCGUGCCUAAUACAUGCAAGUAGAACGCUGAAGGAGGAGCUUGCUUCUCUGGAUGAGUUGCGAACGGGUGAGUAACGCGUAGGUAACCUGCCUGGUAGCGGGGGAUAACUAUUGGAAACGAUAGCUAAUACCGCAUAAGAGUAGAUGUUGCAUGACAUUUGCUUAAAAGGUGCAAUUGCAUCACUACCAGAUGGACCUGCGUUGUAUUAGCUAGUUGGUGAGGUAACGGCUCACCAAGGCAACGAUACAUAGCUGACCUGAGAGGGUGAUCGGCCACACUGGGACUGAGACACGGCCCAGACUCCUACGGGAGGCAGCAGUAGGGAAUCUUCGGCAAUGGACGGAAGUCUGACUGAGCAACGCCGCGUGAGUGAAGAAGGUUUUCGGAUCGUAAAGCUCUGUUGUAAGAGAAGAACGAGUGUGAGAGUGGAAAGUUCACACUGUG
rnacentral:rRNA from 1 species